rnacentral:lncRNA from 1 species
AAUGAAACAAACUUUUAAUUCUCUUUAUCUCUAAAAUAGAAAAAAAUAUACUCAUCCAAAUUUUUGCCAACCAAAAGAUAUCUACUGUGAAUCUAUGUUUUAAUUCAAAAUUUAUUUAAUUUCUUUUUAUCUCUAAAAUAGAAACAAAUUCAUGCUUAUCUAAAUUUUUGCCAGAAUAUCAAUCUGUUUAAAAAUAGUACUUCUAUCCACUAUUUUACAAUAAAAUUUAAAUUUGAGUUUAAAUCGUGAAUUAAAUUUAAUUUUUAAUUUUUGAUUUCAAAUUUAUCCAUCUAUUUAUACUAAAAUUUAAAUUUGAUAUCGUAGAUAUUUUCUAAUAAAAUAUAAUAUAUAAAUUUAUAAAUAUUUUAUUCUAAUUUUUUUUAAAAAAUAUGAUUUACAAAAUUUUAUUAAUUUAAAAUAAAUUA